UGUAAGUAUGAAUAUUACAAGGCAGAAUAACUAAAAAAAAAUGUACCCAUUUAACUGUGCAUUCAAUGAGAAUUACACAAUAUAAUAUAGUGUUCCAUAUUAAAUGCAUAUAGGUACCACCCACCUAUAUAAUAUAUCUGUACACAAGUAUAGCGUAAAUAAUUACAUACCUGGUAAAAACCAAAAACAAAUAAACUAAUAUUCUUCGCACGUAGAACGCAGUGCAUAAUCUAACCAGUUAACCUACAGGUUUAUUAUACGACAGUUGCUGUUAUGGGUGAGCUACAGGUAGUUGUAUAAAAGUUUUGUGAUCAUAAUAUUAUUAUUAUUAUUAUUAUUAUUCAAUUUAAUUGAAACUAUUUACUCAGCCUGCAAGUUACUUCAAUACCUACAAGUAUUUUUUAGUUAAUAACGCGUAUAUAAUAAUUGGCAGCACUACCAAUAUAGAUCACGUGGGAACGAAAUGGAGUGUCACGUCGUUUUUGCUAUGCGGUCUACUCGAAACGACGCAGUCGGACUCUGUUCGUCGUGCCUACAACACAGCCGCUUCAACGUGCCACCCCUCGUCAAGACUCCAGAGUAGUAUUUAAGGGGGGGGGGGUGGUUAGGGGCAUAACCCCGGGCACCAAAUUCAGAAUUCUAAAAAGUGGUGGCGGUGCUUGAGGUCAUCUAUUACCAAUGAUGAUUUAUUUUUUAUUUUUACUGUACUUUAUGUUGAUUGUUUUACAACAUCAGACAAGUUUGGGAAGCUCAAUCUGUGAGCGUGCUAAAUUCUCGGUUUCUAAACGUAUUUUAACAAAACGCAAUCAAAUAGUAUAUGUAUAAUAGGUAACAUUUAGGUAAAAUAAAAAUCAACAAUAUAUAUAUCAACAAUCGUAACUAUCUAGGUACUGACAAGAAAUAAAUAAAAACCAACAAUCGUAACUAACGGACGUACGGACAGACGGACACAAUGGGGAUAUAAGUUGCAGUUCUAAACAUAUAUGUUUAGAAACCUAAAAUGUAUUAGGUAAUAAAAUGUUGGCGAAAAUAAAAUAAAAUAAAUGUCGAAAGUAAAAUGUUUAGGGGCAUAGUAGGUAGGUAUAGGUAUAGUUGUAUAAAAAAAUGUACAAUAAGACUCGUUUUGGGGCGCGAAGAUUUGACAAAUAUGUAUUAUCGUGGGGGACUACGUCACCUAGCGCCUCUUGUAAUUGGUGUACUUUGGGGGGGGGGGGGUAUUCCUCCUAUAGGCCAAUUUUUCGUUUCGAAAACCGCACGUUACACGAGUGUCCAAAGUAAUAUCAUCAUGACCGAUUGGGAGAAAAUUAUAAACGGAGUAAAACUAACAACAAUAAUAAUAACAAUAACAAUAAUGUUAUUAACCGAUACACACUUCCUCGUACAGUUGUUGUAUAGGUAGUUGUAUCAUAGGACGUUACAACGAUAAUAAUAGUAUUAUCACACAAUUACACGACGGCGAUAUUUUUUUAUAUUACUCCGUCAGAUAGUGUACACAACAAUACAUAUAAUAAUAAUAUACACACCUCUGCUGUAGGUACAAUAAUUUAAUAAUAAUAAUAAUAACGCAAACCGACGGCGGCGGCGGCGUUGCCUAGGGUUGCACGGGGGCUCGUCGGCGGCUGGCUGUUGCUACCGCGUCCAGCAGCAGCGGCAGCAUCAGCAUCAGCAUCAGCAGCAGCAGCCGCCGCCGCCGUCAUCGUCGUCGUCGUCGUCGUCGUCGCCGCUGCCGUCGUCGUAGCCGUAGUCGUCGUCGGCAGUAUCUCGUUAACGGCGCUGUGCACCGCACAUAGGACGCGCCUACAAACGCUCGCGACCACAUCAGCGCCCGCCGUCGACGCCGCCGCCGUUUCCCGCGUGCUCAUCGCCGUUAAAUCUGUUCCCGCUUACCACCCCCGCCGCCACCGUUUACUCACCCGCACGGGCGACGACGACCGGGGUUGGCCGCCGCCGCAGCGUGAUCGUAUAGUGACGUCGUCGGCGUCGUCGCCACUGCCGCCACUGCCGCUGCAACCAUGACGACUGUUGCACACUCGGCUGUCGGUGCACCCGCAGUGAUGCGAUUAUGACGGUCACCUGCUACCCCCACUCCCUUUAAAAUACGCGUCCCACUCGACUCUAUAUUAUCAUUAUUAUUAUAAUUUUUAUUAUCAUUAUCAUUUUAAUAAUACGAAUUUAUUGUUUAUAUAUAUAUACAUACACGCACAUAUUAUAUUAUUAUACCAUCGUCUUCGCCGACGCCACUGCGGCAACGAUCGGCGCCACUUCCACCGCCGCCACCGCCGCCGCCGCUGUCGUCGAUCGCCGCGUGAUCCGUGCGCGCGCGAGUACCAUAUUCUCUCGUCAGGGUAUAACAAAUGCCUGCCAGAAAAGGAUUAUUGGCGCCUCAGAAUACAUUUCUGGAUACAAUCGCGACACGGUUCGAUGGCACACGUAAGUUUCAUAAUAUUGUACUUAUAAAAUUAAAAUUAUGAAAAGUCAUGUGGUUUAUUUUAAGAUAAUAGUUAUGUUUUUAUUGAUAUAUUUUUAAGCACAUGAAAUAAAAUAUGUUAAAUAUUGCUACGUACGUAAAUAAUCUAUGAGAUAAGUCAAUUAUGUAGAAUGUAGAUAGAUGAUAAUGUUAUUUAAAUGUUAUUAGCGAAAUUCUCUUUUUAAAAUGGACAUUAUUAACGAGCUGCAUUAUAUUGAAUAGGCGACCCUCUCUAUAUCUCGGAAUAAUGUUUUCUUCGAUUUAUUAUUAACGUUUAGUAAAAAUAAUUUAAUAUAAAAUAUAAAAAAUUUAUAAAUAACAAAUAAUUCCAUACUAGUUUUCAAAAAA
rnacentral:lncRNA from 1 species